rnacentral:rRNA from 1 species
UACAGAGGUGGCAAGCGUUGUUCGGAAUUACUGGGCGUAAAGGGCGCGUAGGCGGCCAUCUAAGUCAGACGUGAAAUCCCCCGGCUUAACCUGGGAACUGCGUCUGAUACUGUACGGCUUGAGUAUGGGAGAGGGAUGUAGAAUUCCAGGUGUAGCGGUGAAAUGCGUAGAUAUCUGGAGGAAUACCGGUGGCGAAGGCGGCAUCCUGGACCAUUACUGACGCUGAGGCGCGAAAGCUAGGGGAGCAAACGGG